rnacentral:lncRNA from 1 species
GCAGUCUUCGCUAGACACUCCAUGCAACAGUGUGUAUUUGUACGUGGGUGGACGGCUUGCUAUCUGUGACGCGUUCCCAGGACAGACUGCAGGUGGCACCAGGGUCCCCUGAUUGUGAAGUUCCACCUCUGCAGAAUGGCUUAGGUGCAAUUUAUAGCAGCAUUGCCCUUUUUAAUUCAGUGUUUAACAAGGUUAACCUGAAGCAGGUUACUAGGUGCUAAUUAGGAUCUGUGGCCAGGUCAAUGCAUUUUUUUUUUUUUUUUUAAACGGGUA